rnacentral:rRNA from 1 species
AAUAUUGGUCAAUGGUCGAAGGACUGAACCAGCCAAGUAGCGUGCAGGAUGACGGCCCUAUGGGUUGUAAACUGCUUUUGUGCGGGAAUAACGGUCGACACGUGUGUUGAUGUGCAUGUACCGUACGAAUAAGGAUCGGCUAACUCCGUGCCAGCAGCCGCGGUAAUACGGAGGAUCCGAGCGUUAUCCGGAUUUAUUGGGUUUAAAGGGAGCGUAGGCGGAGGAUCAAGUCAGCUGUGAAAUGUAGUCGCUCAACGUCUGCACUGCAGUUGAAACUGGUUCCCUUGAGUGCGUAAGAGGCAGGCGGAAUUCGUCGUGUAGCGGUGAAAUGCUUAGAUAUGACGAAGAACUCCGAUCGCGAAGGCAGCUUGCCGGGCCGCAACUGACGCUGAAGCUCGAAGGUGCGGGUAUCGAACAGG